GAUGAACGCUGGCGGCGUGCCUAAUACAUGCAAGUCGAGCGAACGGACGCGAAGCUUGCUUUUCUGAUGUUAGCGGCGGACGGGUGAGUCACGCGUGGAUAACCUACCUAUAAGACUGGGAUAACUUCGGGAAACCGGAGCUAAUACCGGAUAAUAUUUUGAACCGCAGGGUUCAAAAGUGAAAGACGGUCUUGCGGUCACUUAUAGAUGGAUCCGCGCUGCAUUAGCUAGUUGGUAAGUUAACGGCUUACCAAGGCAACGAUGCAUAGCCGACCUGAGAGGGUGAUCGCCCACACUGGAACUGAGACGCGGUCCUGACUCCUACGGGAGGCAGCAGUAGGGAAUCUUCCGCAAUGGGCGAAAGCCUGACGGAGCAACGCCGCGUGAGUGAUGAAGGUCUUCGGAUCGUAAAACUCUGUUAUUAGUGAAGAACAUAUGUGUAAGUAACUGUGCACAUCUUGACGGUACCUAAUCAGAAAGCCACGGCUAACUACGUG
rnacentral:rRNA from 1 species